UACGGAGGGUGCGAGCGUUGUCCGGAAUCAUUGGGCGUAAAGGGCGCGUAGGUGGCCCGGUCAGUCUUUGGUGAAGGCGCGGGGCUCAACCCUGCGUCGGCCAGGGAUACUGCCGCGGCUCGAGCACUGUAGAGGCAGGCGGAAUUCCGGGUGUAGCGGUGGAAUGCGUAGAGAUCCGGAAGAACACCGGUGGCGAAGGCGGCCUGCUGGGCAGUUUUGCUGACACUGAGGCGCGACAGCGUGGGGAGCAAACAGG
rnacentral:rRNA from 1 species